UACGUAGGGUGCAAGCGUUGUCCGGAAUCAUUGGGCGUAAAGCGCGCGUAGGCGGCCCUGUUAGUCCGCUGUAAAAGUCAAAGGCUCAACCUUUGAAUGCCGGUGGAUACUGCAGGGCUAGAGUCCGGAAGAGGAGUGUGGAAUUCCUGGUGUAGCGGUGAAAUGCGCAGAUAUCAGGAGGAACACCAAUGGCGAAGGCAGCACUCUGGGACGUGACUGACGCUGAGACGCGAAAGCGUGGGGAGCAAACAGG
rnacentral:rRNA from 1 species